rnacentral:rRNA from 1 species
AGAGUUUGAUCAUGGCUCAGAGCGAACGCUGGCGGCAGGCUUAACACAUGCAAGUCGAACGAUAAGCUAGACUUCGGUUUAGUGGACAGUGGCAGACGGGUGAGUAACGCGUGGGAAUCUACCUUUGAGUGGGGAAUAACAAUUAGAAAUGAUUGCUAAUACCGCAUAUACCCUCCGGGGGAAAGGCUUCGGCCGCUCUUAGAUGAGCCCGCGUACGAUUAGUUUGUUGGUGAGGUAAUGGCUCACCAAGAUUACGAUCGUUAGCUGGUUUGAGAGGAUGAUCAGCCACACUGGGACUGAGACACGGCCCAGACUCCUACGGGAGGCAGCAGUGGGGAAUAUUGGACAAUGGGCGAAAGCCUGAUCCAGCCAUGCCGCGUGAGUGAAGAAGGCCUUAGGGUUGUAAAACUCUUUCGACAGGGAAGAUAAUGACGGUACCUGUAUAAGAAGCUCCGGCUAACUCCGUGCCAGCAGCCGCGGUAAUACGGAGGGGGCAAGCGUUGCUCGGAAUUACUGGGCGUAAAGCGUGCGUAGGCGGUUAAUCAAGUUGGUGGUGAAAGCCCGGAGCUCAACUCCGGAACUGCCAUCAAAACUGAUUAACUAGAGAUUGGUAGAGGAAAAUGGAAUUCCUAGUGUAGAGGUGAAAUUCGUAGAUAUUAGGAAGAACAUCGGUGGCGAAGGCGAUUUUCUGGGCCAAAUCUGACGCUGAGGUUCGAAAGCGUGGGUAGCAAACAGGAUUAGAUACCCUGGUAGUCCACGCCGU